rnacentral:rRNA from 1 species
AUACGUAGGGUGCGAGCGUUGUCCGGAAUUACUGGGCGUAAAGAGCUCGUAGGUGGUUUGUCGCGUCGUCUGUGAAAUUCCGGGGCUUAACUCCGGGCGUGCAGGCGAUACGGGCACAACUUGAGUACUGUAGGGGAGACUGGAAUUCCUGGUGUAGCGGUGAAAUGCGCAGAUAUCAGGUGGAACACCGGUGGCGAAGGCGGGUCUCUGGGCAGUAACUGACGCUGAGGAGCGAAAGCAUGGGUAGCGAACAGGAUUAGAUACCCUGGUAGUCCAUGCCGUAAACGGUGGGCGCUAGGUGUAGGGGUCUUCCACGACUUCUGUGCCGUAGCCAACGCAUUAAGCGCCCCGCCUGGGGAGUACGGCCGCAAGGCUAAAACUUAAAGGAAUUGACGGGG